rnacentral:rRNA from 1 species
UCAGACAUAACACAUGCAAGUCGUACGAGAGUUUUUAACUCAAGCGGCGGACGGGUGAGUAACACGUAAGAAUUUUCCUUUAGGAGGGGGACAACAACUGGAAACGGUUGCUAAUACCCCAUAUGCUUUCGAGUGAAACGGAUUUUCCGCCUAAAGAGAAGCUUGCGGGUGAUUAGCUUGUUGGUGAGGUAAUGGCUUACCAAGGCGACGAUCAGUAUCUGGUUUGAGAGGAAGAUCACACACACUGGAACUGAGACACGGUCCAGACUCCUUCGGGAGGCAGCAGUGGGGAAU